rnacentral:ncRNA from 1 species
GUUUUUAAAUUUUUUAAUUAGUAUUUUUUGUUAGAUUAUUGGACAUGUAAUUUAAUACUAUUUUUAAGUUACUGCAGUCUGUGUUUUUAUAGAAUCGAUCGAGUUUUUGUAUAAAUGAUAAAAUUGGUGCCAGCAGUCGCGGUUAGACUGAGAUAUAUUUUAUUUAGAGGGUAAAGAUUAUUUAUUUAUUUUUUUUUGUUUGGUAAAAAAUAAUAAAAAUAGAGUUAAUAAGAUUAGUUUAAAAUUAAACUGUAAAAUAGGAUUAGAUACCCUAGUAUUUAAAGGCAAAGCCGCAAUAAUAAAUUUAAAUUGUAAAAAUUUGGCGGCUUUAAAAUAUUAGAGGGGCUUGUAUAUAAACGAUAAUCCGCGUUUUAUAUUACUUUUUAAAUUUUUGUAUAUCGUUAUGUAAAUAAAGUUUAGUUAUUUAUUUGUUUUAUUAAAUCAAGGUGCAGAGACUGAAAAGAUUUAUUAGCCACAAUAUAAAACAAUAAACGAAAAAUUAAAUUAUCAGGUGGAUUUAAUUUUAAUUAUAUAUAAACAUGAAUAUGUUUUUUAAAGUGUUCAGAUCGCCCGUCAUUCUCUACGAGACAAGUCGAAACAUAGGAGGUUUGUUGGAAAAGAGACCUG